rnacentral:snRNA from 1 species
UCAGUUACCUGACAGGGUAGAUACCAUGAUCACUAAGGUGGUUUUCCCAAGAUGAGACUUAUCCAUUGCACUCCAGAUGUGCUGACCCCUGCAGUUUUCCUAACGUGGUAGUGGGGGACUUAGUUUGCACUUGCCUCUG